rnacentral:lncRNA from 1 species
UGGAAGGGACCAUGAGCCAUGCAAAGCUGACAGUCCUUAGGACCUGGAAAAAGCAAGAAACCACCUUUCCUUGAGCAUCUGCAGGUACACAAUCCUGCCAACAGCUUGAUUUUGCUCCAGUGAGACCAGUUUUGCCUUUCGAGCUCCAGAAUUGUAAGACUCCUUCUUCCUGGAACUACAUUCUUACCUAAAGUAUCCACCUAGAAGCUUUUCCUGCCACUGUUAAGGGAAGCUUAGUAUUUAAGCAUCACUACUGUGUCACACAGAGUAGUAGGUUUGAAGUAUAAGAAAACAUUCCUGGUUUCAAAGAUCUUGCAAUCAAAUAAGAAAGAUGGACAAAUAAAUGAAGGGUGAUGGUGUAGUGCCAUGGCACCUGGAGGAAGAAACUGCCAUAAGAUGCUGGUAUGAAAACUUCAGGAUGCUUGGAUGGAUUCUCACCUUAUCCCAUGUCCCAUGAGAAGCAGAUGUCAAGACAAGAGUAAACAUGCAGGGGUUUUAUUCUGUAAAAUGCCAGUGUAAGAGAAAAUAAAGAGACAGCCAUUUGCCUCUUCUUCUCUCUCUUUUAUUUUAUGUAAAUGGAUUUGUCCAAUGGGUGUUUCAGGAAGUCAGGGACCCCAAACGGAGGAACCGGCUGAAGCCAUGACAGAAGACCAUGGAUUAUGAAGAUUUUAUGGACAUUUAUUAGUUCCCCAAAUUAAUACUUUGGUAAUUUCUUAUGCCUGUCUUUACUGCAAUCUCUAAACAUAAAUUGUAAAGAUUUCAUGGACACUUAUCACUUCCCCAAUCAAUACCCUUGUGAUUUCCUAUGCCUGUCUUUACUUUAAUCUCUUAAUCCUGUCAGCCGAGAAGGAUGUAUAUUGUCUCAGGACCCUGUAAUAAUUGCGUUAACUACACAAAUUGUACAGCAUGUGUGUUUGAGCAAUAUGAAAUGUGGGCACCCUGAAAAAAGAACAGGAUAACAGCAAUUGCUCAGGGAAUAAGAGAGAUAACCUUAAACUCUGACCGCUGGUGAGCUGGGCAGAACAGAGCCAUAUUUCUCUUCUUUCAAAAGCAAAUGGGAGAAAUAUCGCUGAAUUCUUUUUCUCAGCAUGGAACGUCCCUGAGAAAGAGAAUGCGCACCUGGGGGUAUCGGCUUAUAAACAGCCCCCCUGGGCGUGGCCUGUCUCUUAUGGUCGAAACUGCAGAAGUGAAAUAUACUCCAGUCUCCCAUAGUGCUCCCAGGCUUAUUAGGAAGAGGAAAUUCCUGCCUAAUAAAUUUUGGUCAGACUGGUCGAUCUCAAAACCCUGUCUCCUGAUAAGAUGUUAUCAAUGGCAAUGGUGCCCGAAACUUCAUUAGCAAUUUUAAGUUUGCCUUGGUCCUGUGGUCCUGUGAUCUCGCCCUGCCUCCACUUGCCUCGUGAUAUUCUAUUACUCUGUUAAGUACUUGAUGUCUGUCACCCACACCUAUUCGCGCACUCCCUCCCCUUUUGAAAAUCCCUAAUAAAAACUUGCUGGUUUUUGUGGCUUGUGGGGCAUCACGGAUCCUACCAACAUGUGAUGUCUCCCCCGGAUGCCCAGCUUUAAAAUUUCUCUCUUUUGUACUCUGUCCCUUUAUUUCUCAAGCCAGCCAACGCUUAGGAAAAUAGAAAAGAACCUACGUGAUUAUCGGGGCAGGUCCCCCGAUAAAUGGGUGCCUAUAUUGACUGUAUUUUUCAGUUGCUGUGAUGUUUUCAAGGUGUAUCCAUGAUGUAGCAUGCAUCAGUGUGUCUUUCCUUUUUAUAGCCAAAUAAAAUUUCACUGUA